rnacentral:tRNA from 1 species
AAAAAGGUAAGCUAAUUAAGCUAGAGGGUUCAUACCCCUCAUAUAAAGGUCCUAGUCCUUUCCUUUUUA